UGCGUAGGCGGUGCGGUAAGUCUUCUGUGAAACCUCCGGGCUUAACUCGGAGCCUGCAGAGGAAACUGCCGUGCUGGAGUAUGGGAGAGGUGAGUGGAAUUCCCGGUGUAGCGGUGAAAUGAGUAGAUAUCGGGAGGAACACCUGUGGCGAAAGCGGCUCACUGGACCAUUACUGACGCUGAUGCACGAAAGCUAGGGGAGCAAACAGGAUUAGAUACCCUGGUAGUCCUAGCCCUAAACUAUGAUCGCUUGGUGUGACAGGUACCCAAUCCUGUCGUGCCGGAGCUAACGCGUUAAGCGAUCCGCCUGGGGAGUACGGUCGCAAGGCUGAA
rnacentral:rRNA from 1 species